rnacentral:lncRNA from 1 species
GAGUGCGGCCCUCAGCCUGUCACCCACCUGUUCCCUGGCCUGGCGGCAUGACUCAUCCCUGAGGCCCAGCCCCCGUGAGCCUCCUGAUCCUCCUCCGCAGGAUGUGAUCUUCCUAUCUCCCAGUUCCCAGGCUGGGAGGGCAACCCCCGGGCCUCUUCAUCUCACUGGGCAAGGAACAAAUGAGCUAUUUUUUAGUGGGAAUCAGUUUCUGGAGGUCUAAAUCAGUCUUGGGAGUAGAUUCUUACUCCUCUGUUCUUGGAGACAAAACAAUGUGAUGAGUUUUAGUCAUGUCAUUGCUUCAGACUAAGAAAAUCUGCAGUUGGCAAUGGUGAGAGAACUCUCUCCUCCUUGCAGCAGCAAGCCUUCCUGUCCAGGGCUUUGCUGAAGUCACUGACCCCAGGAAGUGGCCUGUUCUUCCGUGAAGCAGGAGCCUCCAUUCUUCUCUCGGAGUUUCUUAGUUUACAAACUAGAACCAAUGGGAUUUGCCCUGGAAACCCAGUCUGGGUAACCAGCCAAGUCUGGGCCGGCACAGAGGAAACCAGCGCUCUUCCUGUGCACCUGUAAUUAGCAGGGACAGUGGGAGAUAAAAGGAAAACACAAGAGUGAAGAAGCCGUUCUUCAGUGUGUAUAAAAGCUCUCUCUCUCCAGAAAAGGCAAACGAGCAUUCAAGAGAAAGGCUUAAGUAGGUAGUUCAGAGGAAGGAAUGUGAAGAAUAAUGAAUAUUCUUGCCAUGAUAGCACACAAGUUGGUUUACACAGAUUAUUUCCUAGGAGGUGGGUAAGGCUUAUGGGACAGGCCCAGCAUGAAGCUCCAUCCUGUGUGCUGCAAGGAGUUGAGGAAAAUAAGAUUUAAAUUGUAUUUCAAAGUCCAAGAACACAACAUUUACAGAUCAUGAGGCUCUGUGUAAUAGCCUACCAUCUUUGCAGAGUCGUAUCAACGCCAUGGCCUCAGCUUACUGUGCUGGCCUCAGGGAGGAAUAAGAAAGGCCACCAUCAUGAACUUGCCCCCAGGGAGGAAAGGGCCAGUGGGCAGAUUGCAAAUUUCAUUCAUCUCAGUGGCUUUCACUUGCCAUCCUUGGACCUUUCUCUGAGAGCAGGACAUCCUUGUGGCAUGGUUCCCUAUUCAAAAUUGGUGCCCAGACAAAAUGCAACACAGUAGCAACAAGCAAACCUCUGUGGGUGGUGGAGGAAUGGUUCUUCAAUGGCUGCCUUGGUUAUAUCCAUGACCUUCCCACACGACCAGUAAGCCACACAAAGCCUUCUCCAGGAACCACUUAUCUUAGGAGUAAUUUUCAAAAUUUGGAGCUUAUAGGAGUUGCUCCUGAAAGUAUCAGGUGACAAGGCAGGCAGAAGAGAGGUUAGUGAAAGGGGUGUGUGCUUAAGGGUUGGGAGGAAGAUUCAGUCCCCGGUUCCCCAUGUCAUCUCUGGGAUCUGGACUGGACAUAGUCUUUUGGAGCCUUCUAGCCUCAGCCUGACCCCGGGUAGUGAUACCAACCGGAAGGACUUGGGUGAGGGAGAAGUGGAAACGAGAAGGAUUCACACUGCAAUUUCUUGGUGUCCUUCCCACAUUGAUUAUGUGCAAGUAUCAGAAUGUUAGGGGGAAAAUACAUAUCAGGCAGGGAAUUGCACUAAUAAAUCUCCUAA